rnacentral:lncRNA from 1 species
CUUGAAGGGGUCUUCUGGGGUGCUGGUAAAGUUCUACUUCUUGAUCUAGGUGCUGGUUACUCUGGCAUGUUUGCCUUGUGAAAAUUAACUCAUUUCUAACCGAUCAUUUUGCCCAGAAUGUUAAAAGAGAAUUGCAUUAGUUUCCUGUGCCAUUGUAACUAAUUAUUACAAGCUUGAUGCCUUAAAACAGCAGAAAUGUCUUCUUUCACAGUUCUAGAGGCCAGAAGUCCAAAAUCAAGGUGUAGGCAGUGCUCUAGAAGAUAAUCAGUUCCUUGCCCCUUCAAGAUUCUAAGUUUUCGGCACUCCUUGGCUUGUGAUGUGUAUGCAUGUGGUGUCAAAUCGCCCUCUGCCUCUUUUACAAGGACACUUGUGAUGGCAUUUAGGACACACCCAGAUGAUCCAGGAUUAUCUUAUCUCAAGAUCCUUCACUUCAUCAUAUCUGCAAAGACUCGUUUUCCAAAUAAGCAGAGAACAACACUGUCAGUCUGGAGUAAGUGACAAAAAUAAGAAAGGGAAGUCUAUCCUGAUGCCCAGCCAGGGAAAAAUGGGAAGAAAGAGAAGAGAAGAGAAGAGACAGAGAGGUUAUCGCAGGAGUGGGACUGGUGACUAAAGAGGAAAUGAGACCUAAGCUAGCCUCCUUGCCAUGUGAUACUCUGCACCACCUUGAGACUCUGCAGAGAGUACCCACCAACAAGGAAGCUCUCACCAGAUGCGCCCCCUUGACCUUGGACUUCUCCACCUCCAGAACAGUACAAAAUAAAUUUCAUUUCUCAUAAAUUACUCAGUUUCAGAAAUCCUGUUUAAGCAACAGAAAAUGGACUAAGCUACUGCCCUGCUGAUCAGCCAGCCACCUGUACAUGUGCACACCCAGAUGACAUAUGCAAGAAUGUUCAGACCAUGGUAGAUGUUUCCAAAGAUGGCCCCCAUCAAGUCCUUACCCCUGUGCAUGCAUAUGCCCCUUCUCCCAUUCAGUUACCCCCCUUCCCUUGAGACUGAGUUGGUGCUGUAACUGCUUUUACCAAUAGGAUGCAGACAAAAAUAAUGUUCUGAGAAUUUCGAGAUCAAAACCUAACAGACUGAUAGCUUCCAUGUCCUUCUUCUUGGAACAUUCACUCAUAGAAUGCUCCCUCUCAGAACACAGAUACCAUGAGAGAAGUCCAACCGGGUCAUGUGGAGAGGCCACAUGGAAAAGAACUGAGGCCCAACAGCCCACACCACCUUCCAGUCAUGGGAAUGAACCUUAUUGGAUGUUCCAGCUUUGUCAAACCCCCAGAUGGCUUCAGACCCAACCAAGUUUAUGUGAAACAGAAGAGUCACACAGCUGAACCCACUCAACCCACUAAAUUGUGAGAGAUAAUAACAGGUUGUUGUUUGAAGCCACUACACUUUUUUGUGGUUAUGCCGCAACAGAAAAAUGAAACGCAGACCUCUCAAAAUCACAAGUCCACACUGUGAAUAUAUAAAUUUUAGCAAAGCACCCACUAUAGGCCUGCUUCUUUAAUAUAUAUUUUCUCAGUUAAUGCUCAAAACUAUGCUAAGACAUCAGCUUUCUCAUGGCAGAGAGAUUAUGUAAGAGGCAGAACUGAAACUCAAGGCACACUUCCUGGCCCUAAUUGAUGUGUUUGUCUCACUGCAUCUCAGAAGCUGGGACAAGUGACUCUGCGGGGUCAAUUCUCAGCUCUCUGAACAUGUAUCUGCUUUGGGGAUCAGUAUUACCAUGUGUGUUUUCAGGAUCAUGCUCUUCUAUCAUGUAGCCACCAAUGUGCGGCAAUGGAGAACUUUUUAUACAGUAUCCUAACAAAAAUUAGGAAGUCAUCAUUAGAUUCCCCCAAUCAAAUGUAUAAGACAGUACAGAAACAUAAUAAAAGCACAUCUAAAAGCCUCUUGGUAGAUUCAUGCAUCAGAUAAGAUGAUGGGUUAUACAAACUCUGAAGUCCUUUUUCUUCCAGCAAUCUAUGACCUGCCAAGCGCUGUGCAUAAUUCCUUACGUGCAUGAUCUCAUUUAACUUUCUCAAUAAGCCUAUACUUAUAAAGCAGAAACUGUUUUCUUUAGAGGUCUUUGGGGUCUUACUCUGUUACCCUGCUUGGUAUGCAGUGUGCAAACACAGCUCACUUUAACCUCAAACUCCUACACUCAGGACAUCCUCCCACCUCCACCUCCUGAGUAACUGGAACUACAGGCAAACACCACCGUGAGCAGCUAAUUUAACUUAUUUAUGUAUUUAUUUUUUAUUUGUUUAUUUUUAUCUUUUUUUAUUUUUUUAUUUUUUUGAGACAGAGUCUCGCUCUGUCGCCCAGGCUGGAAUACAGUGGCGCCAUCUCGGCUCACUGCAACCUCCACCUCUUGGGUUCAAGCAAAUCUCCUGCCUCAGCCUCCCAAGUAGCUGGGAUUACAAGUGCCCACCACCAUGCCUGGCUAAUUUUUUUUUUUUUUUUUUUUUUGUAUUUUUAGUAGAGACAGGGUUUCACCAUGUUGACCAGGCUGGUCUCGAACUCCUGACCUCAGGUGAUCUGCCCGCCUCCACCUCCCAAAGUGCUGGGAUUACAGGUGUGAGCCACUUUGCCCGGCAGUAACUGCUUUUAUCUCCACCUUAUAGAUGAGAAAACUAAGGCUUAGAGAAGCAAGAACACAGAAAUAGUAAGUGGCAGAGCCAAGAUUAAACACCACAGGUCUCCCAGAUCCACAGUCUAAAUUUUGUCAUAAAAUAUACAGUUUCCAUUCCUGCACUAGGAACAUAAUUUGUGGACUUGCUUGGAUUAUACAUAUUCCAAGAAAUUGUCCCAACUCCCAAAGAGCCAUCCCAGCUGCACCACAGGUCAUGAGGUGUGCAAGAAUCUAUCUGGUACAGCAUAAAACCAUGGAAGCUGCAGGUAAAGCCAGAACCCAAGCCAACUUCCACUUCCCACCCUGGGGAGAAGUUGGAGACUGAGUGUAUAAACACUAAGCCUACAAAUCUGCACCAACUGUUCUAUGGAAUAAACUUCUGAAUUGCAGCUCUAGUUUAUCUUUCAGAACAAGGCCAAGCAAUAACUCCGUAAAGAAAUGCCUACAAGGAUGACCUCUGGAAACACUUCAUAAUUUAAAAACCAGAAUAGCUGGGCACCACUGAUCCCACAGCCAAGUAGGUCAAGGCUGUGGCCCCUGCCAGUUCUACAAAUUCAUAUCUGCUUUAUCUGAAUUCAUUCAGGGUCAUGAAUAGAAGGGUAGGUUAUCUGAAGUUCUGACGUCUUCCCUUCAUUACCAGACAUACCAGCCAACAACUGGGUUUUAGGGUACUGAGUACAAGGACAUCUGGCUCAACAAAACUGAACAAGUCAGAAUUUGCGGUUGGGAACAGAGGUCAUUAAAGGAUUUACACAGCAAAGAGCAUGUCAGUGUGAUCUCCAAAUUUAAGGUAACAUUUCAGAGAAGGUUUCAUAUCAGAUCAACAUAAAACCAAUUUAAAUCUAUAAUAAACUCCAUUUCUUCAUCUUGUAUCUUAAUGCUAAAAUGUACUCUGCAAAACACAGGAUGCUAAACUAUGCACCCUGGAUAUAUUCACAGAUAGGAAUUACUUCCAGAAAGAGCAUGAACUAGUAAGCAUAUUACAGGAAAAUUAAUUUUUAUAAGUUUUUUUCUUACAAAAAUCAGAGUCUUUACACAGUAUCCUAACAAAAAUUAGGAAGUUUCAUUAGAUUUCCACUAUCAAAUUUACAAGGCAAUAUAGAAACAUAGUAAAAGCACAUUUAAAAGCCACUUGGUAGAUUUAUGCAUUAGAUAAGGUGAUAAAUUAUAUGACCUCUAAAGUUCUAUUUCAUAUAUGUAUAUAUAUUUGCAUAAGAAACUAAAUCACAAAGGACAAGUUUAUCUCUAUAAUAAAUCUUUCAAAAAAUAUUCUGACUUUCCACACUGAAAUAUUUAAGUUUUAGGUAAGAGGUAGAUAAGGUAAGUGGUGAUUCUCAUUUAUUUCAAAGCCAGAGUCUACUAACACCCAUAAUUCAUAAGCACUAAACCCACGGGAAAGAGGGAAGGAAGACAACAUAAAGGAGGGAAGGAGCAAAGAAAUAAAGGAGAGAGAAUAGAAAGGAAGGAAGAAAAGAAAGG